rnacentral:rRNA from 1 species
GCUGGCGGCAGGCCUAACACAUGCAAGUCGAGCGGUAGCGAGAAGCUUGCUUCUCUUGAGAGCGGCGGACGGGUGAGUAAAGCCUAGGAAUCUGCCUGGUAGUGGGGGAUAACGUUCGGAAACGGACGCUAAUACCGCAUACGUCCUACGGGAGAAAGCAGGGGACCUUCGGGCCUUGCGCUAUCAGAUGAGCCUAGGUCGGAUUAGCUAGUUGGUGAGGUAAUGGCUCACCAAGGCGACGAUCCGUAACUGGUCUGAGAGGAUGAUCAGUCACACUGGAACUGAGACACGGUCCAGACUCCUACGGGAGGCAGCAGUGGGGAAUAUUGGACAAUGGGCGAAAGCCUGAUCCAGCCAUGCCGCGUGUGUGAAGAAGGUCUUCGGAUUGUAAAGCACUUUAAGUUGGGAGGAAGGGCAUUAACCUAAUACGUUAGUGUUUUGACGUUACCGACAGAAUAAGCACCGGCUAACUCUGUGCCAGCAGCCGCGGUAAUACAGAGGGUGCAAGCGUUAAUCGGAAUUACUGGGCGUAAAGCGCGCGUAGGUGGUUUGUUAAGUU